AUUAGAUUUAAAUACACUGGGUGUCCCCAAGCACUGACUCCAUAUAUGGAAAUAGCUAUAUAUGGAGUCAGAGCAGGGACUCCUAAGCCGAACUAGAGUCCCGACACCCUCCCCUCUUCAUAACAUGGGGUGCCUGUUUUAAUGCUCGGUUCUCCCAUUGACUUUUAUUGUGCUCGGGUGCUCUGUAGAGGAAAAUCUAAUAAUAAGACAAUAG